GUGGGUUGCACCAGAAGACGGUGCGCUAACCGCAAGGAGGCAGCCGGCCACGGUAGGGUCAGCGACUGGGGUGAAGUCGUAACAAGGUAGCCGUAGGUGAACCUGCAGAAGGAUCA
rnacentral:rRNA from 1 species